rnacentral:rRNA from 1 species
CCUACGGGGGGCUGCAGUGGGGAAUAUUGGACAAUGGGGGGAACCCUGAUCCAGCCAUGCCGCGUGUGUGAAGAAGGCCCUCGCGUUGUAAAGCACUUUCAGUGAGGAAGAACGCCUGGUGGUUAAUACCCAUCAGGAAAGACAUCACUCACAGAAGAAGCACCGGCUAACUCCGUGCCAGCAGCCGCGGUAAUACGGAGGGUGCGAGCGUUAAUCGGAAUUACUGGGCGUAAAGCGCGCGUAGGUGGCUUGAUAAGCCGGUUGUGAAAGCCCCGGGCUCAACCCGGGAACGGCAUCCGGAACUGUCAAGCUAGAGUGCAGGAUAGGAAGGUAGAAUUCCCGGUGUAGCGGUUAAAUGCGUAGAGAUCGGGAGGAAUACCAGUGGCGAAGGCGGCCUUCUGGACUGACACUGACACUGAGGUGCGAAAGCGUGGGUAGCAAACAGGAUUAGAUACCCCAGUAGUC